GAAGCAAGUUGCUCUCAGUCUCUGAAGAGUUUGCAAAUCAAUGGCUGAAGUACUGGUCUGCCUCGCUCCAUUCUCCAGACUCCAUUUUGUUCCUGUUUUGAGAGGAACCAAGAGAGGUUAUCAGCAAACAACUGACUAAGGAACUUGCUCAAAUUGAAACACACAAACAAAAACCACCACCACCACCACAACAACAACAACUUGGUUUUAAGGACAAAAUCCUCACCAUUCUUCCUACUACACUAAAAAGAAGUAACUGUUCCCUUUGGGCAGCAGUAGAAUGGAAAAAAACUGUUCCAGAUUUUAGGGAGGGCCUAUUACCUUAUUAAUGUGAAAGUCUGGCUUUUCUCUGCACAGUCAUCACCAGUCAACUGAAACAAUGAAGUAUAAGAAAAUUUGAACGUAGGCAGCAACUCUUUGGCUUCAUGGAGCACUGCAAAAUUCACCAGACCUUUUUUUUUUCUUUUUUCUUUUUUUCUGUAACCCACAGCAUUCCCUGUCAGUAUGACAGUUACUGGGAGCUGUUAGGUCGACGCCUGGAACUGACAGCCCUAAGAAGCUGGCCUUGGCUCCCACUCAUUCUAAUAGUGAAGGGCAGAGAAAGGGGAUUCAUUGAACUGGCCAGAUUGGGAAGAGAAUCACCAACAAAUAAACACACACCAGCAAACAAAAAGAUAUCCAGUGCUCCAGCAAAUCCAGAGGGAUUGGACUCCGACAUGAGGCUUAGAUUUAUUUAAUUAGAGACAAGGCUGCACAGUGUCGCUUUGGCUGGGCCUGGAACUCACUAUGUAGAUGAGGUAAACCUCAAAUCAUAUAAGUUGAGAAAUCAUAAGAAUCAGCCUGUCACUGCCACCUGAUGAGGGACAUAUUCCCUGGUAAGUGGAGAGAUAGGAGAAGGACCAUGAGCAGGCAAUAAAGAUGCUGAACUUCUAAGAUGACGGACACAUUUUUUCCUUUCUGACCUGAGACAAAAGUCUGGAAGCUUCAAACAAAGGCCUGCAGGCUUUGUCUCCCACUAUCAGCCCAGCUGCUGAUGGAUUGACUCAACAAGUUCAAGGCCAGAUCAGGAGAUAUUUACACAACAGAUUGGGUCAAUCAAACAUCUAUGUUUCUUCAAACAGAUUCACUAAAUUAGAGUCCAGUCCUUGAGAAGAGACUGGACUUUGCCUUCCUAAGUUCCCUCUGCUUUGUGAAGGAUCCAUUUUUUUUUUCUGUGUGUCUGUAGCAUGCUUGAGUUCCCUUCAAGCAAUAAAGAACUUUCU
rnacentral:lncRNA from 1 species